rnacentral:rRNA from 1 species
CCUACGAGGCGCAGCAGUGAGGAAUAUUGGUCAAUGGACGCGAGUCUGAACCAGCCAAGUAGCGUGAAGGAUGACUGCCCUCUGGGUUGUAAACUUCUUUUAUAAAGGAAUAAAACGAGGCACGUGUGCCUUUUUGCAUGUACUUUAUGAAUAAGGAUCGGCUAACUCCGUGCCAUCAGCCGCGGUCAUACGGAUGUUCCGAUCGUUAUCCGGAUUUAUUGGGUUUAAAGGGAACGUAGAUGGGUUGUUAAGUCAGUUGUGAAAGUUUGCGGCUCAACCGUAAAAUUGCAAUUGAUACUGGCAGUCUUGAGUACAGUUGAGGUAGGCGGAAUUCGUGGUGUAGCGGUGAAAUGCUUAGAUAUCACGAAGAACCCCGAUUGCGAAGGCAGCUUACUAAACUGUGACUGACAUUGAUGCUCGAAAGUGUGGGUAUCAAACAGGAUGAGAUACCCGAGUAGUC